GGGGCAUUAGCUCAGUUGGCUAGAGCGUUUGACUGGCAGUCAAGAGGUCAUGAGUUCGAUUCUCAUAUGCUCCA
rnacentral:tRNA from 2 species